rnacentral:rRNA from 1 species
CCUACGGGCGGCAGCAGUGAGGAAUAUUGGUCAAUGGACGAGAGUCUGAACCAGCCAAGUAGCGUGAAGGAUGACUGCCCUAUGGGUUGUAAACUUCUUUUAUACGGGAAUAAAGUGAGCCACGUGUGGCUUUUUGUAUGUACCGUAUGAAUAAGGAUCGGCUAACUCCGUGCCAGCAGCCGCGGUAAUACGGAGGAUCCGAGCGUUAUCCGGAUUUAUUGGGUUUAAAGGGAGCGUAGGCGGGUUGUUAAGUCAGUUGUGAAAGUUUGCGGCUCAACCGUAAAAUUGCAGUUGAUACUGGCGACCUUGAGUGCAACAGAGGUAGGCGGAAUUCGUGGUGUAGCGGUGAAAUGCUUAGAUAUCACGAAGAACUCCGAUUGCGAAGGCAGCUUACUGGAUUGUAACUGACGCUGAUGCUCGAAAGUGUGGGUAUCAAACAGGAUUAGAUACCCUCAGUAGUC